GGGGAAUUUUCCGCAAUGGGCUGAAAGCCUGACGGAGCGACGCCGCGUGGUUGAUGAAGUCCUUCGGGACGUAAAAACCUUUUAUGAUUAAGAAAGUUUAUUGAUCUGAUCAUGAAUAAGGGGCUACUAACUCUGUGCCAGCAGUAGCGGUAAUACAGAGGCCCCAAGCGUUGUCCGGAAUCACUGGGCGUAAAGGGUGUGU
rnacentral:rRNA from 1 species